CCUACGGGUGGCAGCAGUCGAGAAUCAUUCACAAUGGGGGAAACCCUGAUGCUGCGACGCCGCGUGGGGGAAUGAAGGUCUUCGGAUUGUAAACCCCUGUCAUGUGGGAGCAAAUUAUAAAGAUAGUACCACAAGAGGAAGAGACGGCUAACUCUGUGCCAGCAGCCGCGGUAAUACAGAGGUCUCAAGCGUUGUUCGGAAUCACUGGGCGUAAAGGGUGCGUAGGCUGUUUCGUAAGUCGUGUGUGAAAGGCGCGGGCUCAACCCGCGGACGGCACAUGAUACUGCGAGACUAGAGUAAUGGAGGGGGAACCGGAAUUCUCGGUGUAGCAGUGAAAUGCGUAGAUAUCGAGAGGAACACUCGUGGCGAAGGCGGGUUCCUGGACAUUAACUGACGCUGAGGCACGAAGGCCAGGGGAGCGAAAGGGAUUAGAUACCCCAGUAGUC
rnacentral:rRNA from 1 species